AGUAAUGCUUGGGAAUAUGCCUUAUGGUGGGGGACAACAGUUGGAAACGACUGCUAAUACCGCAUAACGUCUACGGACCAAAGGGGGGGAUCUUCGGACCUCUCGCCAUUUGAUUAGCCCGAGUGAGAUUAGCUAGUUGGUGAGGUAAUGGCUCACCAAGGCGACGAUCUCUAGCUGGUUUGAGAGGAUGAUCAGCCACACUGGGACUGAGACACGGCCCAG
rnacentral:rRNA from 1 species